AGGACGAACGCUGGCGGCGUGCUUAACACAUGCAAGUCGAGCGGAAAGGCCCUUCGGGUACUCGAGCGGCGAACGGGUGAGUAACACGUGAGUAAUCUGCCCCUAGCUCUGGGAUAGCUCCGGGAAACCGGGAUUAAUACCAGAUACGACCACUUUAGACAUCUCUUGUGGUGGAAAGAAUUUCGGCUGGGGAUGAACUCGCGGCCUAUCAGCUUGUUGGUGAGGUAACGGCUCACCAAGGCGACGACGGGUA
rnacentral:rRNA from 1 species